UAAUAGGAAAUUAAGAGCAUAUGGUGGAUGCCUUGACUCUACAUGGCGAUGAAGGACGUAGCAUGGCUGCGAUAAGCUUCGGGGAGGUGCCUAGCAACCGAUAUAUCCGAAGAUCUCCGAAUGGGGAAACCCUAUUGAGUAAACCUCAAUAACUUUUUGAUUAAUCAAAAAGAGUAUACCCAGGGAAGUGAAACAUCUCAGUACCUGGAGGAAAAGAAAACAAAGUCCGUAAGGACAAAAUUUCCGAAGUAGCGGCGAGCGAAAUGGAAAGAGCCCAAACCGAAUGAUAAUGUCGCAAGAUAUUAUUAAUCGGGGUUGUAAGGUGAUAACGACGUUUUAUUACGUAAAGAGUUACAAAAUGUAUUGAUAGUAGAAGUUGUUGGAAAGCAACGCCAAAGACGGUGAUAGCCCGGUACACGAAAUUAAUAUAUCUCUUUUGUUGUCAUUCUUGAGUACCUCAAGACACGAAUAGCUUGAGGGAAUCCGCCGGAACUAACCGGCAAGGCUAAAUACAUGUAGAGAUCGAUAGUGAACUAGUACCGUGAGGGAAAGGUGAAAAGUAGUCCGAAAGGACAGUGAAAUAGACCUGAAACCAUAUGUUUACAAAGAGUCAGAGCGGGCCUUCGGGUCCGCCAUGGCGUGCCUAUUGAAGAAUGAGCCAACGAGUUUAUGUAUGCUGCUUAGCUAAAGUUUUAAAAGACUGGAGCUGCAGGGAAACCAAGUGUUAAUAGCGCGUAAUUGGUAGUAUACAUAAGACCCGAAGCCAGGUGAGCUACCCAUGAGCAGGGUGAAGGUGUGAGAAAUCACACUGGAGGCCCGAACCGGUGAGCCGUUUAACACUCUCGGAUGACUUGUGGGUUGGAGUGAAAAGCUAAUCGAACCUGGUAAUAGCUGGUUCUCUCCGAAAUAGCUUUAGGGCUAGCGUUGUGCGUUCCUCUUGGGGGUAGAGCACUGGAAGAUUUCGACAGGGAGCAAUCUCGCGACAUCUAUCAAACUCCGAAUACCAAGAGUUAAAAGCGCAGCAGUUAGACUACGGGGGCGAAGCUCCGUCAGUAAAAAGGGAAACAGCCCAGAUCUCUAAUUAAGGUCCCUAAAUCAAUGUUAAGUGCAAACCAAGGAUGUGGAAUUUCUUCGACAAUGAGGAUGUUGGCUUAGAAGCAGCCAUCAUUUAAAGAAAGCGUAACAGCUCACUCAUCAAGAGAUUCCGCGCCGCAGAUAAUCGGGGCUAAGCAUUGUACCGAAUUUGAGGAUUUCAUAUUUCUGAGGAAAUAUGGAGUGGUAGGAGAGUAUUCGACUCUGCGUUGAAGGCAAAGGGGUGACCCAUGCUGGAGCGUGUCGAAGUAAGAAUGUUGGCACAAGUAACCGCAAUGCAGGUGAGAUCCCUGCACGUCGAAAGAUCAAGGUUUCCUUGGCGAUGUUGAUCAGCCAAGGGUUAGUCGGUCCUAAGCAGAUGGCGAUAGCCGAACGUGAUGGACACAUGGUUAAUAUUCCAUGACUUCUUUUCUGUGCGAUGGAAGGACGGAGGGUAGUAUGUAGAGCAGAUUAUUGGAUUUCUGUUUGUGCUAUGAGGGUGGUUUCUAGGCAAAUCCGGAAACUGGCGUAAAAGCGACAUCCAAGUAGAGCAUAAAUAUGUGGGUUCGCCCAUGUAAAUUUUACAAAGCACGCUUCCAAGAAAAAUUUCUAAGCAUAACAGAACAGAAACCGUACCGCAAACCAACACAGGUGAUCGGGUCGAGAAGACCAAGACGAACGAGUGAGUGUUCCCCAAGGAACUCGGCAAAAAAGCAGCCGUAACUUCGGAAUAAGGCUUCCCCCCAUAAUGGUGACUUCAGUAUUUAUAUUGUAGUUCACCAUUAUGGGGGGCGCAGCGAAAGUAUCUCUGGCAACUGUUUACCAAAAACACAGCUCCCUGCGAACUCGUAAGAGGAUGUAUAGGGGGUGACACCUGACCAAUGCGAGAAGGUCAAAUAUCGGCGGUUUCUCUCUGCCUUCGGGUAGGGAGAAGCUGACUGAUAUAAGCCCUGGUGAAUGUCGGCCGUAACUAUAACGGUCCUAAGGUUUCGCAUAUGACUUCGGUUGUAUGUGAAAGGACUGGGACUGUUGUAGAAAAAGGUAAACAAUUAAAUUAAAAAAUUAUUAAAUCAUUCGAAAGCUACCUACAUGUCAGUAAUGAUAUGUGGUCCAAACUUGACUAACGAGAGACCAGCGUCAAGCAUCCCACCUCGAAAGAGAGGAUGAAGAUAGAGUCCUUCUUAGGUAUAGAAGAGCGAAAUACCUUGUCGGGUAAGUUCCGACGCGCACGAAUGGUGUAAUGACUGGAGAACUGUCUCGGGGAAUAGCUCGGUGAAAAUACAAUACCGGUGAAGAUGCCGGUUAAGCGCAGAUAGACGAAAAGACCCCGGAAGCUUUACUACAACUUGAUAUUGAAUAUACGUUUUACCUGCGUAGCAUAGAUGGGAGAGGUUAUGUGCACGGUCUCGGCUGUGUAAUACUCGUCAGUGAAAUACCAUUCUUGUGACAUGUAUAUUCUAAUCCCUGUGGCAAAAACACAGAGAGACAGUAUCUGGUGGGUAGUUUUACUGGGGCGGUAUCCUCCUAAAGAGUAACGGAGGAGUUUAUUAAGGUCAGCUAGGCGCGUAUGGAAAUCGUGCCGAUAGUGUAAGGGCACAAGCUGGCUUGACUGUAAGAGGGACAUCUCGAGCAGGUGCGAAAGCAGAACCUAGUGAACCGAUGGUACGCAUUAGAUGCGGCCGAAGAUUAACGGAUAGAAGCUACUCCGGGGAUAACAGGCUAGUUCCGCCUAAGAGUUCAUAUCGACGGCGGAGUUCGGCACCUUAACAUAUCGGGGUGCCAUGAUAGAGAUAUUAUUAGCCGUCUUUUAUAUUUGUUGUAGAUAGCAAAAUAAAAGAUACAAAAAAUUGGCCAAAUGCUGGAACUCUCUUUUAAAUGCAUAUACCCAAACAGCAAUUCGAAAGAAUAUACUGAGUGGUUUUAAAAAAUUAUGCAUGUUGAGACAAUCAGCAGGAAAGACUUCUAAAUCUUUUUUACAAAAGACAUGAAGAAUCCUCAGAGACUAAACGCCAAUCUCCUAAUCAUAUUUAUAUGAAAGGAUGAAGAUAUAGUCCGAUCCUUCUGGUGACAGAAGACUCUCAAGAAAGAUUGAAAAGUUUUUUAUUUUUCUUGAGAUAAAUCGACAGCGAUGUCGGCUCACCUUAUCCUGGCGGUGGAGAAGCUGCCAAGGGUUUAGCUGUUCGCUAAUUAAAAAGGUACGCGAGCUGGGUUCAAACCGUCGUGAGACAGGUUGGUCUCCUAUCUACUGCGCUCGUUGAUUCUUGAAGGGCGCUGCUCCUAGUACGAGAGGACCGGAGUGGACUGACCUCUGGUGUACGAGCUCUAUUACCAAAUGGACUGCUCGGUAGCUAUGUCGGGAAGGGAUAACUUCUGAAAGCAUCUAAGAAGGAAGCCCCCCCUAAGAUAAGGAAUCGUUUGAGAACCGUGAGAGAUGAUCACGUUGAUAGGCUUUAGGUGUACGCACAGUAAUGUGUUGAGCCGAGAAGUACUAAUUAUUCGAUUCCUAUUAGG
rnacentral:rRNA from 1 species